AGCGAACGCUGGCGGCAGGCCUAACACAUGCAAGUCGAACGAAGUCUUCGGACUUAGUGGCGGACGGGUGAGUAACACGUGGGAACGUGCCUUUAGGUUCGGAAUAACUCAGGGAAACUUGUGCUAAUACCGAAUGUGCCCUUCGGGGGAAAGAUUUAUCGCCUUUAGAGCGGCCCGCGUCUGAUUAGCUAGUUGGUGCGGUAAAGGCUCACCAAGGCUACGAUCAGUAGCUGGUCUGAGAGGAUGACCAGCCACAUUGGGACUGAGACACGGCCCAAACUCCUACGGGAGGCAGCAGUGGGGAAUUUUGCGCAAUGGGCGAAAGCCUGACGCAGCCAUGCCGCGUGGAUGAUGAAGGUCUUAGGAUUGUAAAAUCCUUUCACCGGUGAAGAUAAUGACUGUAGCCGGAGAAGAAGCCCCGGCUAACUUCGUGCCAGCCGCCGCAGUAAAAC
rnacentral:rRNA from 1 species